AGGAAAUUUGAGAGGAGCUGUCCUUACUACGAGAGGACCGGGAUGGACACCCCGCUGGUGUACCAGGUGUCUUGCCAAAGGCAUCGCUGGGUAGCUAUGUGUGGACGGGAUAAGUGCUGAAAGCAUCUAAGCAUGAAGCCCCCCUCAAGAUGAGAUUUCCCAUAGCGCAAGCUAGUAAGAUCCCUGAAAGAUGAUCAGGUUGAUAGGUCAGAGGUGGAAGCGUGGCGACAUGUGUAGCUGACUGAUACUAAUCGAUCGAGGACUUAACCAAAC
rnacentral:rRNA from 1 species